rnacentral:misc_RNA from 1 species
CCCGAAGAAGAGCGUCCGGCAGGGCCGCGCCUCCACGGCAUCCAGAGCUGGGUCGCGCUGCCGAAAGCGCACGAGGAAACCGAUCCUGAUUUCAGUCAUCAUCCGCGCGACAAGAUCCCGCUGAUCACGCUGCCCGGCGUCUACAUGCAUCUCAUCGCAGGCACGGCGUUCGGACGCACGGCGCCGACGCCGGCUCUUUCGCCGAUGUUCUAUCUCGCGGUUGAAAUGGAGCCGGGCGCGGCUUUGGAGCUGCCGCUCGAACACGAAGAGCGCGGCGUCUACCUCGUGGCGGGAGACGUCGAGAUCGAGGGCUUGCCGCUGCCUGUGCGCCAUCUCGCGGUGGUCCCCGAGAAUGGGCCCGU